AGCUGUAAACCCAACUACAUUGUGUAUAGUUAUAAAUAUAGACAUUGUAAUUUUAAUCCACUUUCUGAAAGUGGUCACAUGUAUCUUUUAAUAUAAAACUGCACCUCAAUUUCAAUACUUCGUGGAUUUUGUACAAUGUAGGACAUUUAAGUGUUUAUAUUUACCGAUAAAGACCGUAUUAGUUUUAGUGUAUUCAUUAUGCAGCAAAAGCAAACAACUCCUAAGUAGGACAAAGGGUAUUCAUGGCCUCUACAAAGCAAGUGUUAUAUUUGUUGGAUCUGAGAACAUUGAGGAUAUUUAACACUUGACAACUUCCAAAGUAAGGAAGUCGGCUUUCCGAACAGGCAUCUCCAUUGGUUGCCGAGUAUGCGAACUUUGAACCUUGCUUUCAUGUUUUAAAUGUUGCCUUUUAGAAUAUGUUGGUUUCUUGAUAUUAAAGUAUAGACUGUUAAUAAUUGUAGAUGCCAUAGAGGCACUAAUCAGUAUAAUUAACUAUUCAACAAUGGCAGAUCUUGAAAACGAUUAUAUAGGUGCACAAGUACAAAUAUCCACUCCUAUGAGUAUAAAGCAGUUGAAACCUGUCUUAAAGACAAACUUAGCCGUACCUAUACCUUUGGAUGGUUGUGUUAAAAUAACUGGCUGUCAAGUACUCUCCGAUGAGCAGUUUUUACUACUUGACCAAAUAAACCGACGUCUACUGAACUUCAACGCAGAUGGAGUCCAUACUAGAGAUGUUAUAACGUUUAAUGGAAUUCCAUUUGACAUUUGUUUGUUUGGAGAUCAAACGGUCGUUGUUUCUAUUUUGGAUAAGAAUCAAAUACUGGUGGUAGAUAUUGAAAAUAGUAUCAUUCUUAAGUCAUUUCCAGUAGAAGGUUCAUGUUAUGGGUUGGACAGCGAUGGCGAAACAUUGAUUGUUCGGUUACAAGAUAAAGACAUAGUGAUCAUUACAGAUAUUGAUGGAAGUAUUCAAAUAAAGGUUAAGAUACCAGGAUACUAUCUUAUUCGAGUGGCUUUAUUCAAGGACAAAAUAUACAGUACAAAUGUGAAUGAAAACACAGUAUCCUGUUACACAAGAGAAGGUCAACAUAUUUGGACAAUCAGAAACAAUGACAUCAAUAGACCAUUUGGUCUUUCCGUUGAUAUAAAUGGAAUGGUAUAUGUGGCAUGCAAUCCGACAAACACAGUUGUAGCUAUUUCCCCUGAUGGUAUCUCAAGUAGGGUUAUUUUAUCCGCCAAGGACGGAUUGGACAAGCCUUAUGCUGUUCACGUUGAUAAGAAAUCAUCAACUUUAUUAAUUUGCAAUGAAGACAAUGCCAGAGCUUUAGUUUAUAGCAUAAGGAAAUGAAACUUCGUUCAAUAUAGUACCGUUUCUGAAAGGCAUUAUUUAACUUGUGGUAACAUAUAUUGUUUAAAGUCCCUGCAUGACUUGUGUAUUUGGAGUUGGCACCACUUUUUUUAUCAAAGGUCUAGACAAAGAGUAGAAAAAGCAAUUAUCUUACCUCCUAUACGCUUCUAGAAAUAUCAUUGGUUGAAAACGAACACGUGGAGAACUUGUAUAUUUAAUAUUCUGUCAGUGAGCGUGUUUUAUUUUAAUACACGGUUAGUAGUGGUGUUA